GUGUCAGCCGCCGCGGUAAUACGUAGGGGGCUAGCGUUGUCCGGAAUCAUUGGGCGUAAAGCGCGCGUAGGUGGCUCUGUAAGUCAGUUGUGAAAGUCAAAGGCUCAACCUUUGAAAGCCGAUGGAUACUGCAGAGCUAGAGUACGGAAGAGGCGAGUGGAAUUCCUGGUGUAGCGGUGGAAUGCGCAGAUAUCAGGAGGAACACCAAUAGCGAAGGCAGCUCGCUGGGACGUUACUGACACUGAGGCGCGAAAGCGUGGGGAGCGAACAGGAUUAGAUACCCUGGUAGUCC
rnacentral:rRNA from 1 species